AACGAACGCUGGCGGCAGGCUUAACACAUGCAAGUCGAGCGCCCCGCAAGGGGAGCGGCAGACGGGUGAGUAACACGUGGGAAUCUACCCAUCCCUGCGGAACAACUCCGGGAAACUGGAGCUAAUACCGCAUACGCCCUACGGGGGAAAGAUUUAUCGGGGAUGGAUGAGCCCGCGUUGGAUUAGCUAGUUGGUGGGGUAAAGGCCUACCAAGGCGACGAUCCAUAGCUGGUCUGAGAGGAUGAUCAGCCACAUUGGGACUGAGACACGGCCCAAACUCCUGCGGGAGGCAGCAGUGGGGAAUAUUGGACAAUGGGCGCAAGCCUGAUCCAGCCAUGCCGCGUGAGUGACGAAGGCCUUAGGGUUGUAAAGCUCUUUUGGCGGGGAAGAUAAUGACGGUACCCGCAGAAUAAGCUCCGGCUAACUUCGUGCCAGCCGCCGCGGUAACAC
rnacentral:rRNA from 1 species